AGUGAACGCUGGCGGUAGGCUUAACACAUGCAAGUCGAACGGCAGCACAGCAAGAGUUUGCUCUUACGGGUGGCGAGCGGCGGACGGGUGAGGAAUACAUCGGAAUCUACUUUUUGGUGGGGGAUAACGUAGGGAAACUUACGCUAAUACCGCAUACGACCUACGGGUGAAAGCAGGGGAUCUUCGGACCUUGCGCGAUUGAAUGAGCCGAUGCCGGAUUAGCUAGUUGGCGGGGUAAUGGCCCACCAAGUAGACGAUCUGUAGCUGGACUGAGAGGAUGAUCAGCCACUCGGGAGCGGGGACGCGCACCAGCCUCCUGCGUGAGGCACCAGUCGGGAACAUUCGGCAGUGGGCGGAAGCCUGUUCCAGCCAUACCGCGUGAGUGAAAAGGACCUUCGGGUCGUGAAGCCCUAUUGUUGGGGGGGAAAAGCAGUAGGUUAUUACGCCGCUGUACUGACGGUACCCGAGGAAUAAGCACCGGCUAACUUCGUG
rnacentral:rRNA from 1 species